GAAAUGCGAUAAGUUAUGUGAAUUGCAGAAUUCAGUGAAUCAUCGAAUCUUUGAACGCACCUUGCGCUCCUUGGUAUUCCUUGGAGCAUGCCUGUUUGAGUAUCAUGAAAUCUUCAAAGUAAAUAUUUUGUUAACUCAAUUGGUUUCUACUUUGGUAUUGGAGGUCUUUGCAGCUUCACACCUGCUCCUCUUUGUUCAUUAGCUGGAUCUCAGUGUUAUGCUUGGUUCCACUCGGCGUGAUAAGUUAUCUAUCGCUGAGGACACUGUAAAAGGUGGCCAAGGUAAAUGCAGAUGAACCGCUUCUAAUAGUCCAUUGACUUGGACAAUACUUUUAUGAUCUGAUCUCAAAUCAGGUAGGACUACCCGCUGAACUUAAGC
rnacentral:misc_RNA from 1 species